UAUUAGGUUGGUGCAAAAGUAAUUGCAGGUUUUGCCUUUUAAUGGCAAAAACUGCAAUUACUUUUGCACCAAACUAAUAU
rnacentral:miRNA from 1 species